rnacentral:rRNA from 1 species
CCUACGGGGCGCAGCAGUGGGGAAUAUUGGACAAUGGGCGAAAGCCUGAUCCAGCCAUGCCGCGUGUGUGAAGAAGGCCUUCGGGUUGUAAAGCACUUUCAGUGGGGAAGAAAGCCUUGGGGCUAAUACCCUCGAGGAAGGACAUCACCCACAGAAGAAGCACCGGCUAACUCCGUGCCAGCAGCCGCGGUAAUACGGAGGGUGCGAGCGUUAAUCGGAAUUACUGGGCGUAAAGCGCGCGUAGGCGGUCUGAUAAGCCGGUUGUGAAAGCCCCGGGCUCAACCUGGGAACGGCAUCCGGAACUGGCAGGCUAGAGUGCAGUAGAGGAAGGUAGAAUUCCCGGUGUAGCGGUGAAAUGCGUAGAGAUCGGGAGGAAUACCAGUGGCGAAGGCGGCCUUCUGGACUGACACUGACGCUGAGGUGCGAAAGCGUGGGUAGCAAACAGGAUUAGAUACCCGAGUAGUC